rnacentral:snoRNA from 1 species
UCUGUUCUGUGAUGAGGCUAUGGAACACGCACUGGGCACAGUGCCUGACAUAAAGUGACGAAUUAUUCCAUGCUGCCUUCCUGCUGAGAACUGG